CACACCGUUGGGACACACCCAGUAUAUACAGCAGAAGAGGUGCUCAGAUUUCUGGGAGAAUGUUUUCAAGAAAUAAGUUAUCAGGUGUGGACAGUCUUAAAAUGUAUAGGAGGGCCCUCCACAAUGCCUGAGCAAACUAUUACUCAGCAUUAAUAGAAGAAAAUAAGAACAACCCCAGGUUUCUUUUCAGCACUGUAGUCAGGUUGACAAAGAGUCACAGCUCUGUUGAGCCUUGUAUUCCUUUAGCCCUCAGCAGAAAUGAUUUUAUGAGCUUUUUUAAUGACAAAAUUCUAACUAUUAGAGGCAAAAUUCAUGACCUCCUGUCCUCACACAGUACCGAUCAGCCUUCAAACAAAGGGACCUUAAACACAGCUGUAAGACCUGAGAUAUAUUUAGAUUGCUUCUCUCCGAUUACCCUUCAACAACUGACCUCAGUGAUUUCUUCAUCUAAAUCAUUAACAUGUUUCUUAGACCCCAUCCCAACUACGCUACUUAAAGAACUCUUACCUCUAAUUAACACUUCUAUAUUAGACAUGAUCGACAUCGAUCAGUUUAAAUCCUAUUUAUCCGAUCAACUUCAGUUUGUUCAUGUUCCAGGGAUGCAAACAGGUGUAUGGUCAAAAAAAGAGAGUUUGUCGAAGCGAAAUUCUGAAUAUUGAAAUACACGAACACUAAUUUGGAAGAAUAAUGUGUAUUCCAAAACAGAACAAAUCCGUUGAGCCAUCAUGACCAUCUUGCUAGAGGUCCAAAUCUUUAUACAUUUCUUCAUGCUCUUUACAUUGAACAAAGCGGCUAGAUUGGCCUACUACAAAUAACAUGUCAGUUUCAAACUAAGAGCCAUCUGAAUAUCCUGGAGCAAGUGCCCUUAAGUGUUGGAUAAUAGUUUUUACAUCUUGACUGUAUAAUAAAAAAAAAAAAAGAAAAGAAAUUCUGAAUAUUAAAAUACACUAACACUCAAUUUCCCUCAUUCUGCAAAUGAACAAAGUAGAAUGUUUCAGCAAAACUACCAAAACAGAGUGCAGUUCAACCUACAUCUUUCCACAAUUUAUUUUUAUACCAGCUACAAGGUACUUGCUUACUGUGGAAUUGAUAUAAAAUGCAGAUUUUUUAUGGAAUGUUUGCGUUGUUUGGCAUGAAAAUGACAACCUUAAAAAUAGCCAGAGGCCACUGUAUUAGUUAAUCUGUCUAUAUAUAUGUAGCAGGGUGAGAUGCUCAUCCCCACCCUGAAUGAGAGAGUGUGCUUCCUUGCUCUCAUCUCCACUUUGUAGCCAAUCACAGCAUGAGAGCACUCUAUAUGAGGAGGCUGUGUUCAGUCUGACUCUCUCUUGCUCGUUGGCUCCGAGACCGUCCACUUCCUGGUCACCUCGCUUCCUUUCCCCGCUGCCACCUACGCAGCUUCCUGCAUUGCUCUCCCGGGCUGACGCUAAUGACGUGCACUGUUCCCCUGAGCUGUCUGGCUGUCCUCCUCCCGCUGCUGCACAGCGCGAGCUCUCCUCCGCUCUCGCUCAGGUGAUCAAACACCACCUGAUCGUUGCUGAGAGCCAAAGGUGGUGGGGUCCUGGUGUCCUGGGUGGUGGCUUCCCCUUUCUUUUGGUGUUCUUUUGUGUGUGUGGCUGUCACGUGUGAUUGGGGUGACCUUAAUUUUGUUGGAUCCCUCACACCCUUGUCGACCCAUCUCCCUGCCGGUAAGCCUCAGUACUGAAAGGUCCCCCUUUUCUUACAUCCCUGUG